ACCUGGCUGGCUCAGUAGGUACAGCAUGAGACGCUUGAACUCGGGGUCGUGAGUUCAAACCCCAUGUCGGGUG
rnacentral:tRNA from 1 species